rnacentral:miRNA from 1 species
AAAACAUUCGCAUCCGAUCUUUAUCUGAUAUAGAAACUCGAACCGAAGGCGAGAGUUUGUAUAUCAGAUAAAGAUCGGAUGUGAAUGUUUU